AUUGAACGCUGGCGGCAUGCCUUACACAUGCAAGUCGAACGGCAGCACGGGUGCUUGCACCUGGUGGCGAGUGGCGAACGGGUGAGUAAUACAUCGGAACAUGUCCUGUAGUGGGGGAUAGCCCGGCGAAAGCCGGAUUAAUACCGCAUACGAUCUACGGAUGAAAGCGGGGGACCUUCGGGCCUCGCGCUAUAGGGUUGGCCGGUGGCUGAUUAGCUAGUUUGUGGGGUAAAGGCCUACCAAGGCGACGAUCAGUAGCUGGUCUGAGAGGACGACCAGCCACACUGGGACUGAGACACGGCCCAGACUCCUACGGGAGGCAGCAGUGGGGAAUUUUGGACAAUGGGCGAAAGCCUGAUCCAGCAAUGCCGCGUGUGUGAAGAAGGCCUUCGGGUUGUAAAGCACUUUUGUCCGGAAAGAAAUCCUUGGCCCUAAUACGGUCGGGGGAUGACGGUACCGGAAGAAUAAGCACCGGCUAACUACGUG
rnacentral:rRNA from 1 species